AACGAACGCUGGCGGCAUGCUUAACACAUGCAAGUUGAACGAACUAAUUUGGGGCUUGCUCUGGAUUAGUUAGUGGCAAACGGGUGAGUAACACGUGGGAAUCUCCCCAUCAGUAUGGAAUAACACUUGGAAACAAAUGCUAAUACCAUAUAUUCUCUUCGGAGGAAAGAUUUAUCGCUGAUGGAUGAGCCUGCGUCAGAUUAGGUAGUUGGUGGGGUAAUGGCCUACCAAGCCAACGAUCUGUAGCUGGUCUGAGAGGAUGAUCAGCCACACUGGGACUGAGACACGGCCCAGACUCCUACGGGAGGCAGCAGUGAGGAAUAUUGGACAAUGGGCGAAAGCCUGAUCCAGCAAUGCCGCGUGAAUGAUGAAGGCCUUAGGGUUGUAAAGUUCUUUUAGUAGGGAAGAUAAUGACGGUACCUACAGAAAAAGACCCCGGCUAACUCCGUGCCAGCAGCCGCGGUAAU
rnacentral:rRNA from 1 species